UUUUUUUUAAAAAAAAAAAAUAUUUGAUUAAAAUAUAAUCCUCAGUAUAAAGUUUUAUUAAUUAAGUAAUCUUAGAAAUAGAAAUAAUUAAUGAUUAAUAGAUUAAAAUUGUGCCAGCAUUCCGCGGUUAUACAAUUUAUUUAAGUGAAUAAAUUUAUUAAUAAUAAUAAAUUAUAAAUGUUAAAAUUAAAUAUAUUAAAUUUAAGUGAAAUUUUUUUAUUAUAUUAGUUUAGUUUAUAUUUUUAAAGUUUAUUAAAACUUAAAUUUAAACUAGGAUUAGAUACCCUAUUAUUUAAGUCUUAAAAAAUUAUUAGUAGAGUAUUAAUAGUUAUUUUCUUUAAAAUCAAAAAAAUUGGCGGUAUUUUAUCUAAUUAGGGGAAUUUGUUUAUUAAAUGAUAAUCCGCGAGAAAUCUUACUUGUUUUAUUAAUAUAUGUCCUUCCGUUAUCAGAAUAUUUUAAAUUAAUAUAUAAUUUUCAAGAUUUUUAAUAAAAAUUAUUUCAGGUCAAAGUGUAGUUUAUAAAAAAGUUUAAAUGAAUUACAAUAAAUUUAUUUAUUAUGGAUUUUAAAUUGAAAUAUUUAAAUGGAGGGUGGACUUAAUAGUAAAAUAAAAUUAUUAUGUUUAUUUGAAAAAAGAUCUAAAAUAUGUCCAUAUCGCCCGUCGCUCUCAUUUUAAAGUGGGAUAAGUCGUAACAAAGUAGAUGUACUGGAAAGUGUUUCUAGAAAGUAU
rnacentral:ncRNA from 1 species